rnacentral:rRNA from 1 species
AGGCCCUGGUUUGGAAUGAAACUCCCCUGCUCUGAAUCGGAUAUGCAGCUCUUUCAUGCCUCCACCAACAUUCACCUUGGAAAUGGGCAAACUGCGAGUUUCUGGAAGUCAAAGUGGCUGGAUGGGGCCGCACCAUGUGACCUUGCACCCUCCCUCUUCAAGCUGGCACGCAGGAAAAACUACACUGUGGCUCAAGCCAUGCAUGACAGGAAGUGGAUGAAGGGGCUUGAAAGAAUCAGCUCCCAUGAUGAUCUGCACUCCUUUCUGCUUCUGUGGGAGAAGAUUUAGAGUGUCAACUUAUCUGAAACAAGAGAUACCAUUGAUUGGAUCUGGACGAAGGACAAGAAAUACACCGCCAAGUCUGCAUAUUCCUGUCAGUUCAUUGGUUCGAUUGCCAAGCCUGAUGCUGACCUGAUCUGGAGGCUCAAGAUUGAAAGAAAGGUGAGGUUUUUCAUCUGGACUUUGGCUCAAAACAGACUCCCAACCACUGACAGGCUGCGAGCCCAUGGGAGCGAUCAUAACGCGACGUGUUCUCUCUGCCUCCAACUCCCUGAAACUGCACUCCACCUCUUCAACACAUGCCUUUUUUCCAAGGAUGUUUGGAACAAGCUAUGCUUGGCACGGCCCUUGUGCUACCAUUCCCUACCUGCUAGCAUUCAGUCCAUCUCUCAUUGGUGGAGUGUUUGCUCCCAGCGCAACAAAGAGCAGGCCGUUGCUGCUGCUUAUUUUGCUUGGCACAUGUGGAAUGAGAGGAACAUGAGGGUCUUCAACGCCAAGUCUACCUCAGCGGACGGCGUGGUUUCUCUGAUAAAAGCUGACUUAGAUUUCCUGAGAGUAGCGCUGUGA